rnacentral:lncRNA from 1 species
CCGUUCUGGGCUUCUGGCUGCAUUCUAGGAAGAUCAUUCCUUAAAAGAAAUAGCCAUAUGGCUUAUAAGACAUGGAAUAAACUUGACAAGUGCUAAAGAUGCUCUUUGAUUUUUGUGUGGCAUGAGACCUCAGGCUGAAACUUCUCAUCUGAGCCAUUGAAGGGAGCCUCUCAUCUCUCCACCGAGAGGGGAGACCAGAAUGCUCUGUUUCUGGCAGGAAUCUGACACCACUUACUCCUUGGGUAGAAACUCCCCCAAGUCUGAACUAUGUGAUUGCCUGAGCCCUGCUUCUUGUUCAUUAAGACUGCUCCUCUGAAACGGAAUUGAUGAAUUUUUAGUGGCUAUUAGAAGCAUUUGGGAUCCAUAGGCAUCAGGGUUUGAUGCAUGGCCCUCAUCUCUGUGGGCUCCUGUGCAAUGAUUCUCAUCUGUCUUAGUUAGAAAGUGAAUUAAUCUUGACCUUGGCCUCAGGGGUGUGGUUCUCUGCCCUCUUACACAUCUUCAAUUCGCUUCUUUAUCAGAAGCACUUGUUUUAGGCCCAGGCUCCCCCAAUUUUAAUGACAUUUAGACAUUUGUCUUUAAGUUACAUUGCUUUGAUUUUAAUCAAAAUCUAUAUUUCUAGUAUUAUAUGUUUCCAGAAAGUUCUCAUUCUGGAUUGUAAUUUAAUUACAUGGAUCAUUAAAGCUUUGAAGGAUGCUAAUGGGCAGAAAAAAGAGACUUAACAAAACGAAAGUUAUUAUUAGGAAUUACAAAUCACUUAACAUUUCAACAUCACUCGUCGGAUGUGGGCAUUUUGUUGAAAGAGACCUUGUUUUGAACAGUGACAGUGCAGAAGACCUAUGGAAGAAACAAGCUUCCAACUUGAUUUCUAUUGUUAUGCAUGCAUAGCAAAUUAUUAAUUCUAUUCUAAUAGGGUAAUAGAUUUAGAAAUACUAUUAGCAGAAAACUUGAUGUAUUAGGCAAUACUACAUACCACAUUAGUCUAACCGCUCAACUGUAAUUUUUCAUCCAUACUUUCUUGGGAUGUAAAUAAAAUUGAUAUUAUACAAUGAAAAUAAAA